UACAUAGGGUGCAAGCGUUGUUCGGAAUUACUGGGCGUAAAGCGCAUGUAGGCGGCUAUUUAAGUCGGGUGUGAAAGCCUGGGGCUCAACCCCAGAAGUGCAUCUGAAACUAUUUAGCUUGAAUAUGGUAGAGGGUAGUGGAAUUCCUGGUGUAGUGGUGAAAUACGUAGAUAUCAGGAGGAACAUCGGUGGCGAAGGCGGCUACCUGGACCAAUAUUGACGCUGAGAUGCGAAAGCGUGGGGAGCAAAC
rnacentral:rRNA from 1 species